CGAACCACACAAACGUUAUUCGGAAUUACUGGGCUUAAAGGGUGCGUAGGCUGUGCGGAAAGUUGGGUGUGAAAUCCCCCGGCUCAACCGGGGAAUUGCGCCCAAAACUACCGUGCUUGAGGAAGACAGAGGUGAGCGGAACUUCGGGUGGAGCGGUGAAAUGCGUUGAUAUCCGAAGGAACACCGGUGGCGAAAGCGGCUCACAGGGUCUUUUCUGACGCUGAUGCACGAAAGCUAGGGGAGCAAACGGGAUUAGAUACCCCGGUAGUCCUAGCCGUAAACGAUGAGCACUGGGUUGACGGGACCCCCAUAUCCUUUCAGCCGCAGCAAAAGUGUUAAGUGCUCCGCCUGGGGAGUAUGGUCGCAAGGCUG
rnacentral:rRNA from 1 species